AAUGUAACUUCCCUGCCAGUCGAUAGACGAGGCACUCUUGGCAGUUUGUCUUUUCACACUCCUUUUGCUCGUCUUCUUGACUUUACUACACUCGAUGUUCGCGUGUUGCUGAUUCUUCUAAUGAGUUAUCUGCCUCGACUACUAUGCUUUCUUCGGUGGGCAACACAUAGCUCCAAAUCAGCCUACUUAUGGCUUUCCAGCUCGCCCGCUUCUGCUAUUGACUGCCAAGGUCAGUUAUUGCAGUGCUCUUCACAAAAAGACUUCUUAUCAUGACGUUUUUUCAUCCACAAUGGCAGCAUGUGAUGGCAUCAAAUGCUCUUCCCCUCAUCGCCUAGUGGAAUCUCAUUUCCCUUCCUCCUCUUGCUCGUCCCAUCACUUAUAACUGGGCCCACAAGGGUGAGACUAUGAUGUUUCUCUAGAGCUUUACAAACCUUUUCUAGUGGUGAGAACAUAUAGUCAUGACAACGAUGAGACAUUUGCUUCUGUUGGCAACACAUAGCUCCAGAUCAGCCUACUUAUGGCUUUCGAGCUCGCCCGCUUCUGCCUAUUGACUGCUAUGGUUAGUUAUUGCGGUGCUCUUCCCAAGAAGACUUCUUAUCAUGACAUUUUUUCAUCCACAAUGGCAGCAUGUGAUGGCAUCAAAUUAUCUUCCCCUCAUCGGCUAGUGGAAUCUCAUUUCCCUUCCUCCUCUUGCUCGUCUCAUCACUCGUAACUAGGCCAACAAGGGUGAGACUAUGAUGUUUCUCUAGAGCUUUACAAACCUCAUCUAGUGGUGAGAACAUAUAGUCAUGACUGAUGAGACAUUUGCUUCUGUUGGCAACACAUAGCUCCAGAUCAGCCUACUUAUGGCUUUCGAGCUCGCCCGCUUCUGCCUAUUGACUACUAUGGUAGGUUAUUACGGUGCUCUUCGCAAGACUUCUUAUCAUGACAUUUUUUCAUCCACAAUGGUAGCAUGUGAUGGCAUCAAAUGCUCUUCCCCUCGUCGGCUAGUGGAAUCUCAUUUCCCUUCCUCCUCUUGCACGUCUCAUCACUUGUAACUAGGCCCACAAGGGUGAGACUAUGAUGUUUCUCUAGAGCUUUACAAAGCUCAUCUAGUGGUGAGAACAUAUAGUCAUANCGAGAGUCUAUUUGAUCGUUUCCAUAUUAUUCAGCGCUUCAAUUGUUUGGUUGUGUUUGAUGUGCCCUUACUACCUCUCGUGAAUGUACCAAACUUACUACCUAGUUCGUUGAGUGUUCAUAGGAUACAACAAUGAGCAUAAGAGAUCCUGUUGUUAGGAUCAUGUUGGUCAUUGGUGACUAUUUCUCACGUUAUGACUUUUAGUGAGUCCAGUCCCUUCUACGUGUGACCAUCAUCCCCGACCUUUUCAGUGGAGGAUGUGUUACCUCACUUUUCCCGACACUCCUAUCACUAUCGUUGAGCCCCAAUCCAUUCCUCGUACUGCUCCUGCUUCUCCAAUUAUUAAAGAUUCAGCACCAUCAUCUCCUAUGAUUUCCUCACUUCGCUUAUCACGGGAUUCUAAACUUUCAUCACCGGUGACUUGUCUCCAUAACCUGAGUUUAUCUCGAGGAUUCUUGCUCGUAUUCUUCCACAUUUGACUCACUUUUAUACGCGUCGUUCGUGUGUUGUGGAUGCAUCUACUGAUGUGCCAUCUUCUCCGUCUCGGCCUUCUUAUGGCUUGCGACCUCGUCCACUUUUGCCUGUUGACCGCCUUAGGCUAUGAAACGUUGGCGCUGUUAGGAAGUAUUAGUAUUAGUCUAUUAGUAUUAG
rnacentral:lncRNA from 1 species